AUUGCCCAUUAAUGUGGGACUUUAUUAUUUUCACAAAAUUCACACUAAAAUAUAUUUUGUUACAACAGUUUCCUUCUCUCUCCUCCAUUAGCUACCUCAAACCACCGUCCAGACUCAGCCAGUGAUUGUCGCGGAUCCAUUCGAGAUGUCGGCCUAGCCCAAGCCGCACAACCACCCUAUAAUUUGUGAAAUGGAGGAGAUUAUCAAUUGUCAAGCAGAUUAAGAGAAUUUAUCUACAGGAAUGAAAGAGGAGCAUUCAGAGAUACAAAAAUAGGAAAAGCAUGAUUCGACAAAAGUAUUGGAUUAGGUGUCUUUGAAGUUGAAGAGGAAACUAUUGGUGGAUUAAAUUUUAAUCAUAUUUGAAAUUUUUUGCUAAGUAGAGAGCUCAUAGAUGGUACAUUAGUAUAGAGUAAUUUGGCUUCAUUUGAUAUUAAAAUAAAGUCAGACUGGUUUAGCAUUGUAAUUCAAGUUCAAACCCUUUUGGUUCUUCUUGUAUCGAUUAGUCCUCUUGUACUAAGAAUAGUGCAAAUUUCAGAUGUCAUGUAAUAUUGUAAUUGUUGGGUUUAAGAACACAUCGAAUUUAGUUACUAAUUCAAAUUUGUUAUUAUUA